GUAUCCUUCAAAGACAUCCGAUAAAAUUGGAAUGAUAUGCAGAAGAUUAGCAUAGCCCCUGCAAAAGGAAGACGUACAAAUCGAGAUUUGGUAAAUUACA
rnacentral:snRNA from 1 species